rnacentral:sRNA from 1 species
UACAUAGAAUCGGCUAUCAAGGGCGGUUGGCUCAUCUCCAGAGAGGAGGUGAUGCUAUGGAAGUAAAGGACGCUUUAAUUCUGAUGUUCAUGUUCGGCAUGUUCAUCUUAGCUUACUUUCCUACUUGAAAAACAAGUAGACCUCCCUUGAGCUCGGAAAGCUUGGAGGUCUACCAUCCACUUUCUAUAGGUCGAACGCCUUUGAGGCAAUCUAUUGUAAGACCGUAGAUCCUGCAACAUCUGCG